rnacentral:rRNA from 1 species
AUUGAACGCUGGCGGCAUGCCUUACACAUGCAAGACGAACGGUAACGCGGGGCAACCUGGCGACGAGUGGCGAACGGGUGAGUAAAGCAUCGGAACGUGCCCAGUCGUGGGGGAUCGCGCGGCGAAAGCCGGAUUAAUACCGCAUACGACCUAUGGGAGAAAGGGGGGGAUCGCAAGACCUCUCGCUAUUGGAGCGGCCGAUGUCAGAUUAGGUAGUUGGUGGGGUAAAGGCCUACCAAGCCGACGAUCUGUAGCUGGUCUGGGAGGACGACCAGCCACACUGGGACUGAGACACGGCCCAGACUCCUACGGGAGGCAGCAGUGGGGAAUUUUGGACAAUGGGCGCAAGCCUGAUCCAGCCAUGCCGCGUGCGGGAAGAAGGCCUUCGGGUUGUAAACCGCUUUUGUCAGGGAAGAAAUCCUUUGGGUUAAUACCUCGGGGGUAUGACGGUACCUGAAGAAUAAGCACCGGCUAACUACGUGCCAGCCGCCGCAGUAAAAC